AUACAGAGGGUGCGAGCGUUAAUCGGAAUUACGGGGCGUAAAGCGUGCGCAGGCGGUUUUGUAAGUCAGAUGUGAAAUCCCCGGGCUUAACCUGGGAACUGCGUUUGAAACUGCAAGGCUAGAGUGUGGCAGAGGGGGGUGGAAUUCCGCGUGUAGCAGUGAAAUGCGUAGAGAUGUGGAGGAACACCGAUGGCGAAGGCAGCCCCCUGGGUUAACACUGACGCUCAGGCACGAAAGCAUGGGGAGCAAACAGGAUUAGAUACCCGAGUAGUCC
rnacentral:rRNA from 1 species